GACGAACGCUGGCGGCAUGCCUAAUACAUGCAAGUCGAGCGAACAGAUGAAGUGCUUGCACUUCUGACGUUAGCGGCGAACGGGUGAGUAACACGUAAGGAAUCUACCUAUAAGCGGGGGAUAACAUUCGGAAACGGGUGCUAAUACCGCAUAAUAUCUUCUUCCGCAUGGAAGAAGAUUGAAAGACGGCUCUGCUGUCACUUAUAGAUGACCUUGCGGUGCAUUAGUUUGUUGGUGGGGUAAUGGACUACCAAGACGAUGAGGCAUAGCCGACCUGAGAGGGUGAUCGGCCACAUUGGGACUGAGACACGGCCCAAACUCCUACGGGAGGCAGCAGUAGGGAAUCUUCCGCAAUGGGCGAAAGCCUGACGGAGCAAUGCCGCGUGAGUGAAGAAGGCCUUCGGGUCGUAAAACUCUGUUAUAAGAGAAGAACAAAUUGUAGAGUAACUGCUACAGUCUUGACGGUAUCUUAUCAGAAAGCCACGGCUAACUACGUGCCAGCCGCCGCAGUAA
rnacentral:rRNA from 1 species